rnacentral:lncRNA from 1 species
UAUUAUCAUGGAAUACUGUGCCCAUGGACAACUCUACGAGGUCUUACGAGCUGGCAGGAAGAUCACACCUCGAUUGCUAGUAGACUGGUCCACAGGAAUUGCAAGUGGAAUGAAUUAUUUGCACCUCCAUAAAAUUAUUCAUCGUGAUCUCAAAUCACCUAAGUUUUAGUGACCCACACAGAUGCGGUAAAAAUUUCAGAUUUUGGUACAUCUAAGGAACUCAGUGACAAAAGUACCAAGAUGUCAUUUGCUGGCACGGUCGCAUGGAUGGCGCCAGAGGUGAUACGGAAUGAACCUGUCUCUGAAAAAGUUGAUAUAUGGUGAGUGGCG